rnacentral:rRNA from 1 species
GAGUUUGAUCCUGGCUCAGGACGAACGCUGGCGGCGCGCCUAACACAUGCAAGUCGAACGGAGCUGAGAGAAGCUUGCUUUUCUUAGCUUAGUGGCGAACGGGUGAGUAACGCGUGAGUAACCUGCCCUGGAGUGGGGGACAACAGUUGGAAACGGCUGCUAAUACCGCAUAAGCGCACAGAGCUGCAUGGCUCGGUGUGAAAAACUCCGGUGGUAUGGGAUGGGCCCGCGUCUGAUUAGGCAGUUGGCGGGGUAACGGCCCACCAAACCGACGAUCAGUAGCCGGCCUGAGAGGGCGACCGGCCACAUUGGGACUGAGACACGGCCCAAACUCCUACGGGAGGCAGCAGUGGGGAAUAUUGCACAAUGGGGGAAACCCUGAUGCAGCGACGCCGCGUGAGCGAAGAAGUAUUUCGGUAUGUAAAGCUCUAUCAGCAGGGAAGAUAAUGACGGUACCUGACUAAGAAGCCCCGGCUAACUACGUGCCAGCCGCCGCGGUAAUUC